GCUGAGUGGGCUGCGUUAGCAGGUUACUGCGAUAUAGUAAAUUGUAAAUCAAUUAGGGUUUCCUCAGUA
rnacentral:tRNA from 1 species